CCCAUGGGCUCAGCCAUGGGUUGGGGAUGCUCUGGGUCCAAGCUGUGCUGUCACUGUUCCCUCUCGUGUCGCAUUGAUUUCUGGUUGGGAUUUGUGGUGAGCUGAUUGCUCCGGUUGUGCGGCUCAAAACAGGCGUUUGGCAUUUCUGACUGAGCCUGGCCUGAUGUGAGGAGAGGGGCUCUCCGUGUCCCGGGAUGAGCCCCCAGCAGCACCUUGCUGCCUGCAGCUGCCAAACACGUGAGCUGGGAGGUGAAGCUGGGAAAAGCUUCCAAGAGCCCAACAGCGGGUGGAGUGGGUGGGGGAGCACGGGUUAUCAUGCGCCGGGAUGUGACGAAAGGGAUGGAAAACAAGAGCAAAAGGGGCCCAUUUCUUCUAGGUGAGAACGCCCAGCAUGUGCCGGAGCUGCCGCGGUGGCUCAGCUGUGCCGGUAAAGCGGUGGUGUUCAACGUCCAACCCAACCCUCGGCUCGUGGGGCAGAGCCGGGAUGCUGUCAUCUGAUGCAGGACUUUGGGACUCCCCACGGGGAGAUGCCCCGAAGCGUCAGCAGCUCCAUCCUGCUGGGAGGAGCAAGGAAGCGCUGCUCCGCUGCUCCCUGAGCACCAUCGGGCUGCCCUGGGCUGCUGGCUGCUUUCGUGACCCCGCCUGGGGGCUCCGUAGCGAACAGGGAUCUCCCAAGAGCUACUUGCUGGGCUCUCUGUUGAGCAAAGCCGAUGACUUGCAUGUGAGGCAUUAGCAAAUCUGGCUGUUUUUCUGUACUCGUCAGCCUAAAUUGAAUUGAGCUUGGAAAUGGAAGCCAGGAGUCUGUACCCUGGGGUGAGGAAGACUGGGUGAAAUUAGAGGUUCUUCCAAUAAAGAAGGGCCUGAAGGAAAACACCAGGGCCGGGUGUGAUCCUGUGGUUUUCUCCAACGGGGCUGUGCACCAGGGCUACAAAGAGGCGGUGCACUUCAAAGCCUGGCGUGUCUUCUGGCUUUGGAGCUCAGGUGCCUCAGUGUCCCCAUCUCCAGGAGUGGAAGAAGAAGCCUACAGCGGUGCUUUCUGCAGGCAUCUCCAGGGACACGCGAACAAAGGACAGAGCAGCUCUCGACUGAUGGCAUCCCUGCAUUUCCAGAUGCACGCACACACAAACACCUGUAAGAAAAGGCUCAAUCUCUGCCAUCUCUGGAGCACUCUAUAUGUGAACAAUAACCAUGGGUGUGUUGGGGUGCAGGCAAAGCACAGCUGUGCCCUUUGGGCACACACCUCUCCAGGCAGCGUGGGCAGCCCCGGCUCUGCUUGGGCUCUGCGCAGUGCAGUGAGCCCAUUCCUACCACCUGCAGCCCUGGGUCACGGAAAGGAGCUGUGGAACGGGG